rnacentral:rRNA from 1 species
UACGGAGGGUGCAAGCGUUAUCCGGAUUCACUGGGUUUAAAGGGUGCGUAGGAGGGCAGGUAAGUCAGUGGUGAAAUCUCCGAGCUUAACUUGGAAACUGCCGUUGAUACUAUCUGUCUUGAAUAUUGUGGAGGUGAGCGGAAUAUGUCAUGUAGCGGUGAAAUGCUUAGAUAUGAUAUAGAACACCAAUUGCGAAGGCAGCUCGCUACACAUAUAUUGACUCUGAGGCACGAAAGCGUGGGGAUCAAACAGG